AUGCUCUCUUCUGCAGCACAUAAAUUAAAAUUGCAACAAUACUGAGAAGAUUAGCAUCGCCCCUGUGCAAGGCUGGCACGCAAAUUCAUGUAGCGUUCCAUAUUUUU
ensembl:snRNA U6 U6 spliceosomal RNA